rnacentral:rRNA from 1 species
AUUGAACGCUGGCGGCAGGCCUAACACAUGCAAGUCGAACGGUAGCACAGAGAGCUUGCUCUCGGGUGACGAGUGGCGGACGGGUGAGUAAUGUCUGGGAAACUGCCCGAUGGAGGGGGAUAACUACUGGAAACGGUAGCUAAUACCGCAUAACGUCGCAAGACCAAAGUGGGGGACCUUCGGGCCGCACACCAUCGGAUGGGCCCAGAUGGGAUUAGCUAGUAGGUGGGGUAAUGGCUCACCUAGGCGACGAUGCCUAGCUGGUCUGAGAGGAUGACCAGCCACACUGGAACUGAGACACGGUCCAGACUCCUACGGGAGGCAGCAGUGGGGAAUAUUGCACAAUGGGCGCAAGCCUGAUGCAGCCAUGCCGCGUGUAUGAAGAAGGCCUUCGGGUUGUAAAGUACUUUCAGCGGGGAGGAAGGCGGUGAAGUUAAUAACUUCACCGAUUGACGUUACCCGCAGAAGAAGCACCGGCUAACUCCGUGCCAGCAGCCGCGGUAA